rnacentral:misc_RNA from 1 species
AACGCACAUUGCGCCCGCCGGUAGUCCGGCGGGCAUGCCUGUUCGAGCGUCAUUUCAACCAUCAAGCCCUGGGCUUGUGUUGGGGACCUGCGGCUGCCGCAGGCCCUGAAAUGCAGUGGCGGGCUCGCAAGACACACCGAGCGUAGUAGCUUACAACCUCGCUUUGGGAGUGCUGCGGGUGCUGGCCGUAAAGCGACCUUUGCGUCUUUAGCACUAGGUUGACCUCGGAUCAGGUAGGAGGACCCGCUGAACUUAA